UUGCAGGAGGCUUUGGGGCAAGUCCCCACCAGUCCUCAGCUGCAGGAACAUUUAUUUGCUGUUUUUUGUUGGUAGGCAGAGGCAGGUCCUGGACACUGCCCACUCCUGGUGACUCACACUGGAGCAAUCCCUUUUUUCUGUUUUCAUUGGGAUAAAAAUCAUCUCCAGGAAUGGAUGGAGAAGGCUGCGUUGUUCAGCUCGUCGCUCACAGCGUGAAAUCAGGUCCUAAUGAGUGGUGAAACUCCAAACCAUGGAGCAGGAUGUAUUGAAAAGGAGAAAGAGAUGUUCUUGUGCCCAGACCUCAAAUAAGCGACAGGCCUGAAGAUUAGUACCAUUAAAAAAGUGCCAAAAAGGGGAUUUUCCAGUGACCAGACCACAUUUUUUCAACACAUGGUGCUCCCAGUUUGCUGGGAGAGUCCAGGGACGUGCCAGUGAGUGAAGGAAGCACAGCCUGGGGAGAGAAGAAUCCCACUUUUCAGAAUAGAAAUGAAAUAUUUCUCUGCAGAGCAACUGGAGAAGAUCCAUCAGUAAUACCCCGAUCCCUGCAGAGGGGAUACACCAUUAAUAAGCCACACUGAGUCAUUCCCUACAGGAAUAGUAUUUUUCUCCAGGGCCAUUGCGUGCUCCAGCUAUUCCAGAGCCAUCCCACUUGCUCUGUUUCCCGACUGACCCGCUUGGCAUCUGCCUGUGCUGCUGUCAGAGCGAGUUUACUCCCACCAUGGGGCUGGGAUUUAUGUCUGACAUAUGUUCCUCCUCUUCCCAUACUCCAGCACUGACGCUCCAGCUCUUUUUCCACGUUCUCUAAAAGAAAAAGGGAUGUUUUUCAAGCCUGGCCUCAAUUUUGCUGUGUUUUUGAUGCUUUUAGCAGAGCAGAGCUCCUCAUCCUACCUCCCUCUCCGGCCUGCAGCAGCUCACACUCCAAUUUUGGGAUGCCACAAGCCCAGCAAGGGUGAUCCUCCUUUUCUCCAGGGUUUAUUCCAAAGCAAAAUGUCAGGAUGAGAGGAACUGGCUUUGCUUUGCACCAGGGGAGGUUGGAUUAGGUAGCAGGAGGAAAUUCUUCAUGGGUAAGGCUUGGUUGGGGCAGUGGUGGAGUCACCAUCCCUGGAAGUGUGCAGGACACGUGUGGAUGUGGCACUGGAUAUGGUCUAAUGGUGAACACGGAGGUGGUGCUGGACUGGAUGAUCCCAGAGGUUUUUCCAACCUUAACAAUUCCAUGAUUCUAUGACGGUAGGAGACAGAUUUAAUCCACAGCCCUGAAAAAGCAGGUGGCAAACAUCAGAUUAUCUGAAUUGGCAGCUUUAACUCACACCCAAAGAUCACAGAAUCUGAAUUUUGGGGUCUUUUAUUUUAUCUCUUUCCCCCAUAGCAUUUUGAAGGGAGAUUUUUCCUCUCGUUCCCUCACCACUUUGUCGUGUGCCACUGACUGAGCACGAGCCCAACAGGUUUAGAAACACCCCACUGGUGGAUCCCUGGGCUGGAAACGCACGUUGGGUCUGAUUCCCACAUCCUGGAAGAACUGCUGGGUGCUGGAGGCUGGAUUGCUGCUCCAGGGAGGCAGAGAGGAGGCAGGAAGCACAUGGGAACUGCAGGAGGAGCCUGGCUUUGCCCCCAGGGCUCUGCACUCAGUGGGUUUUGGUUGUACAGGAAAAUGUGAAACCUGUUCAGUCGGUUCCCUCCACACCAGCAGCAUCUCGGGGCUUUGGAAGCCAAAGGACAAUUGCCUCAUUCAUUUUCUGGGGUUAGUUUAUUAAAAAAAUGUCUAUUUGUGUGUUAACCUUGUGAUGGGGUGCAGGAAUGGGAUGACUUGGAAAUCCUUGGAGUUCUGAAUGCAACUGGCUACUGACUGAGCUCUGGCUGUGACAAUGAUUUGAUAACUAAUUAUCUAACAAGGUUCAUAAUUAUUAUUAUUACAAAGUUCUGAUAUGAAGUUUUCAAGCAUGGGCCUAUAUAAGAAAUAAAAUAAUUUUUUUUUUAAAGUGUGGUUUGGCCAGGAUAUUGAAAAAGCACUUGGCUUCUCAAAAUUUAAAACCUUUGUGUCCUACACUGGUGAAUCUAAUAAACAAAGUAAAAUGUAAUAUGAAAAUGAGCACUAAGUGUGAAUUUGGCUGAGUUUUGCCUCUCACUUGGGCCCAGGAAAGAUUUUCCAACAGAAGUCCAGAAGCUUCAGCACAAUGGAAAGAAAAAAUCCUCGACUUUCAAGGAGCAAAUGCUGCUUCAGCAAUGGAAAUAGAAGGUAAC